rnacentral:miRNA from 1 species
CCUAUGAAACUCAGUUCUUCAG